AUCCUGCUACUCAGUUCAACGAAC
rnacentral:misc_RNA from 1 species